rnacentral:rRNA from 1 species
GUGGGGAAUAUUGGACAAUGGGCGAAAGCCUGAUCCAGCCAUGCCGCGUGUGUGAAGAAGGUCUUCGGAUUGUAAAGCACUUUAAGUUGGGAGGAAGGGCAGUAAGUUAAUACCUUGCUGUUUUGACGUUACCGACAGAAUAAGCACCGGCUAACUUCGUGCCAGCAGCCGCGGUAAUACGAAGGGUGCAAGCGUUAAUCGGAAUUACUGGGCGUACAGCGCGCGUAGGUGGUUUUGUAAGUUGGAGGUGAAAUCCCCGGGCUCAACCUGGGAACUGCCUCCAAAACUGCAUGACUAGAGUACGGUAGAGGGUAGUGGAAUUUCCUGUGUAGCGGUGAAAUGCGUAGAUAUAGGAAGGAACACCAGUGGCGAAGGCGACUACCUGGACUGAUACUGACACUGAGGUGCGAAAGCGUGGGGAGCAAACAGGAUUAGAAACCCCGGUAGUCC